CAAUUCACAAAGAUAAACGUUAUCGCUUUCACCUAGUAGAUAAAUUACCGCCCCUUAUCUAACGCUAGUAACCAUGGUAUUCACGAAAGCUUCAAUCGUUAUUUAAUGUAGUCGUUAUGGUUGUCAACUGACUCGUUAUCCAAUCGUUAUGGUUACGUUUCUAACGUAAAUCUCAUUUAGAAGAACGGUAUUCUAACGAAUCAAUCGUUAAUUUAAUGUCCCAAAGCGUAAUAAUAACGUCUACGUUCGUUAAUUAACGCCGGAGAGAUGCAUUCUGGGAGCAGAAGAGGAGGAGAAUAGUUCAUCCUAACCACGUGUUUCCUCUGCAAUUGCGUCCUUUGACCCGGAUGCGGAAAAGUAAAUAAAAGAAAACACACCUGGAGCUCGAGCGCGUGGUGUGGAAAAAACAGCAGCAGCAGCAGAAAACAUGAGGCCGAGUCUAAGAUCGCUGUUUGAGCAAAUUGUGAAUUCGCCCAUCCAACAGUCAGAAGAACAUUCAAGCUCCAAUGAGGAAAAUGACAAUAAUGGAUCUGUCAAGUCAGUGGGUCAUGUACCCGGAAAUCUAGCUGCUAUGGUGCGCACCCAAAAAAAAAUAUGACGGUAGAUACUAAAGAUAAAUCACAGACAUCAUCGAAGCCUAAGAAACCUGAUUCCAAGGCACAGACCACUCCUCCUGGGAAUAUUAACUCACUUAAAAAACGAAAUAAAAGAAAAAAUUCAGAAAAGGAACGCAAAAAGGAGACACCAUCACCCAAGGAUGUGGGUCCAUCCAAAUUUACGGAAACAUUUGGGGAAUGUAUAAAG